AUGCGGCGCAUGACCGGGGUGGGCGAAAAGAUGAGCUCCUUCCACACCUGCUUCUCGUUGCCGCCUUUUCUCUUGGGCACGGCGACCACGUCGCCGUCAAGGUCGUGGGGGAUGCCGGCGGCAGCCUUGAUCUGGUCAAGGCGCUCCACGGCCUCCUCUGGCGUGUCAGAGGUCUUCUCAAGCACGACCCUGGCAUCCGCGAGGCGGCCCUUCAUGACGAGCCACCGGGGCGACUCUGGCAUGCCGAGCACCAUGAGCGCGAGCAAGGCCGAGGGGACGGCGCCGACGCCGAGCAUGAUGCGCCAGUUGAUGUGGUGCGGGAGGCGCGCGAAGGCGAAGUUGGAGACGUAG
rnacentral:rRNA from 1 species